rnacentral:sRNA from 1 species
ACAAAUCUGCGGUGUACGGAGUUCGGCAUAAAACGGAAUCCACAGUAUGAAAUCGGGAGCAGGUUAUUCGUGGCGAUAGGCAAGGUCUGAUUUUCGGAAAGUCCGAUGCGUCAAGAUGCAGCACCCACCUAGCAAAAGCUGGGUUCAUCUUUUUGCCGAGGUGCGGCACAGGCGGAUUUCAU